AUUGAACGCUGGCGGCAGGCCUAACACAUGCAAGUCGAGCGAGCUGCGGACGGGUGAGAAAUGUAUGGGGACUGCACGUGAGAGGGGGAUAACUACUGGAAACGGUAUCUAAUACCGCAUACUAUCUCAUUACCCAUAUGUGAUUAGCUAGUAGGUGAGGUAAUGGCUAACCCAGGCGACGAUCCCUCGCUGGUCUGAGAGGAUGAUCAGCCAGACUGGGACUGAGACACGGUCCAGAAUCCUACGGAGGCAGCAGUGGGGAAUAUUGCACAAUGGGCGCAAGCCUGAUGCAGCCAUGCCGCGUGUAGGAAGAAGGCCCUAGGGUUGUAAAGUACUUUCAGUCGGGAGGCGUUACCGACAGAAGAAGCACCGGCUAACUCCGUGCCAGCAGCCGCGGUAAUAC
rnacentral:rRNA from 1 species